rnacentral:rRNA from 1 species
GACGAACGCUGGCGGCGUGCUUAACACAUGCAAGUCGAGCGAAGCGGCGGUCGGGUGAGUAACACGUGAGUAACCUGCCUUAGACAUUGGGAUAGCCUCGGGAAACCUGGAUUAAUACCAAAUGGUCUAAGAUGGACUCGCGUCCCAUUAGCUAGUUGGUGGGUUAACGGCCCACCAAGGCGAAGGUGGGUAGCCGGCGUGGGAGGGUGAACGGCGAAAUGGGAACUGAGAAACGGUCCAAAGGGGACGGGAGGCAGGAGUGGGGGAUAAUGGACGAUGGGCGAAAGCAUGAUGGAGGGGCGAGGGGUGGGGGAUGAAGGCUUUCGGGUUGUAAACCUCUGCGCUAUCGAACAUUUUGUUGGUGGGUUGAGGGUAGGUAGAGAAGAAGCGCCGGCUAACUACGUGCCAGCAGCCGCGGUAAUAC